rnacentral:rRNA from 1 species
GACGUAGGGCGCGAGCGUUGUCCGGAUUUAUUGGGCGUAAAGAGCUCGUAGGCGGCUCGUCGCGUCGUCCGUGAAAACCUGCGGCUCAACUGCAGGCUGGCGGUCGAUACGGGCAUCACUGGAGUUCGGCAGGGGAGACUGGAAUUCCAGGUGUAGCGGUGAAAUGCGUAGAUAUCUGGAGGAACACCGGUGGCGAAGGCGGCAUCCUGGACCGAGAUCGACGCUGAGGCGCGAAAGCUAGGGGAGCAAACGGG